rnacentral:lncRNA from 1 species
AAACAGAGCCAGCAAGAAGAGGUAGCCCUGCAAACCUGACUUUUGUGGGGAAAAUUUGCAUGUGUAAGCAAUUUGCAUAAACUAAGCCAAGCCUUCCCUCCUUGGGUCCUAAGAAAGAGGAACUAAGAUUCUGACACCUUAAAGAUUGGAAAGCAACACUUACCAUCUAUUUUCUCUGAGGGCUGCUAACUGUGAGGGUUCUUCUACAUAACCAGACCACCCCUGCUAUCCAGGCCUCCUUUUCUCUCUCUCCCAUAACCUGUCUUGCCACUAUAACCUGUUUUACCACUAUAACCUGUUUGUGGCCAUUCCCUAAACCCACGUUUUUUCUGUAACCUCUGUGAUGCCCCCGUGUACACAUCAAUAAAGUUUCUAUGCCUUUGCUGCAAUCAAUCUGCCAUUGUGAGCUGAUUUUUUAGCGAACCUUCCGAGGGCAAAGGGGACACUUUCCCUUGGCUCCUACAGCUUGACGCUGUGAGCAGGCUCUGCUCUCCUGAAACCCACAGCCAAGUGAAUCCAGGUCCCGAUGAGCUAUCAAAAGGGAUCUUCACCAGGAGUAGAUUCCACUUCUCAAGAAACCACUUUAUUUGCUUAUCCAUAAGAAGUGACUCCUCAUCCAUUCAAGUUUGAUCAUGAGAUUGCAGCAAUUCAGUGACAUCUUCAGGCUCCACUUUUAAUUCUAAUCUCUUGCUGUUUUGCUACAUCUUCAGUUACUUUCUCCACAGAAGUCUUAAACUGCUCAAAGUCAUCCACAAGGGUUGAAAUCAACUUCUUCCAAACUCCUGUUAAUGUUAAUAUUUUGACCUCCUCCAAUGAAUCAUGAAUGUUCUUAAUGGCAUCUAAAAUGGUGAAUUCUUUCCAGAAGGUUUUCAAUUUACUUUGCUCAGAUCCAUCAGAGGAAUCACUAUCUAUGGUAGCUAUAUGUGUUUCUUAAAUAAUAAGAUUGAAAGUCAAAAUUACUGCUGAUCUAUGGGCCGCAGAAUCAUAUUGUGUUAGCAGGCAUGACAAUAACAUGAAUCCCCUUGUACAUCUCCAUAGAGCCCUUGCAUGACCAGGUGCAUUGUCAAUGAGCACUAAUACUUUGAAAGGAAUCUUUUUUUCUGAGCAGUAGUUCUCAACAGUAGGCUUAAAAUAUUCAGUAAACUAUGCUAUAAACAGAUGUGCUAUCAUAAAGGCUUUGUUGUUCCACUUACAGAGCGCAGGCAAAGUAGAUUUUGCAUAAUUCUCAAGGGCCCUAGGAUUUUUGGAAUGGUAAAUAAGCACUGGCUUCAACUUAAAGUCACCAGCUGCAUUAGCCCCUAAUGAAAGAGUCAGCCUGUCCUUUGAAGCUUUGAAGCCAGGCAUUGAUUCCUCUCUAGCUAUGAAAGACCUAGAUGGCAUCUUCUUCCAAUAUAAGGCUUUUUGGUCGAUGUUAAAAAUCUGUUAUUUAAUG